rfam:Loxodonta africana unplaced genomic scaffold scaffold_4, whole genome shotgun sequence.
GCCAUGGUGGUACAGUGAUUGAGUGCUUGGCUGCUAACCAAAAGGUCGUUGGUUCAAACCCACCACUGGCU